UUCCCAUCUAUUUAAAAAGUAACACAUUCUAGAAUUCCUCAAGAAAUUAAACUUCACUGGUCUAUAGUUUGCUUAUUCUCUUCUCAUUCCUCUUUUGAAAGUCAAGAAAUUUGCCCUUCUUCAGUCCUUUAGUACUUUUCACGACCCAAGGAACUCUGUUCUUUAGAGUUGUGACUUGUACUCUUCAAGGCCAAUUAGGUAGACUUACAGCUGAAAGAGAACUUAGAAGUAAAUAAGAAACAGGUUUUAAGGUUAAGUGACUAGCACAGUCACAGAGUUAUGUAAAUGUUAGAGAUCAAAUUUGAACCCACCACUAUGCCACUUAAAUUUUUACUCUCUCCUUACUUAUCUUGGGUAUCAACUCUAUUAGCUAUUAAAAAAAAAUCUGUCCCUUCCAGGCCCAAUAUAAUUUUCCUUGGCACAGAAAAAAGCAAAGUAAUUAUUUGGCACCUUGCCCUUCUUUUAGUUGUCAGUCAUCACUGCUUGUAUAUCAAGUUCAAACUGGUAGUCUGAUUUCUUUUUUGAUUGUUCUCUUUAUCCCAAUAUGCAACUCUUUUUGCCUUCUUCAGCUUUCCUUGCUACUAUCCUUACCUUUUUUGAAGAUCUAGAAUUUCUGAUACAAUUCUUUUUUUUUUUUUGAUACAAUUCUUUAAACUGUCAUAUUUUGGUAUUUGCCCUCUUGUUAGGGGUGGGCUUAACACCAGCUCCCUGUUUUUUCAGGUUCACGUUGGGACAAAAUGUCACUGUUAACAAAAGGUUUACUUUGCCUUAACAUAGAGUUAUGUGACAGAUACUGGCACUUCCCUGGAUGACUUGUCUCCACCAAGAAAAGUGUCUCAGGUUAGGGUAAGUAAUCUUCAGACAUAUAUCAGAGGGGAAAUAACUCCCUCCAGAAGGGAAUUUUUAUAUCCUUAGGUGACUGGGAAGCAGCAUAAUAAAGGGAAGCAGAGGGCAAUCAAUUCCCAGGGACAGCUUUGUUGCCUUUUUUGCGAAAUAGAGGAACAUGCAUUUCUAUUACUUGCACAUGAUUCCACCUUCUGGCAUGGAUGUUUAAAAAAACCUAAGUUGGUUGGUGAAUUCCCUGUAUACCAUGUGACUCUCUUUAAUUAACUAUCCCUUUUCUGUCUAAACCAGUGGUUCUCAACCUGAGGGAUGCGACCCUGGCAGGGGUCGAAUGACCAAAACACAGGGGUUGCCUAAAAUCAUUGGAAAAUAAAAUAUUUCUGAUGGCUUUAGCCGCUGAGAAAUCGCGCUAUUUUACAGUAAGAUCUUGGAAAGAAUGGAGACCCUGCUGCCCACACAUUGUACUGAUAUUAGUUACCUAUCAGCAGCCCUCCCCCUAUGAGGGGGUGAUGGAUUUACCCUGUUGCCUGGAGACUGGACUCAAACUGACCCAGAGAGAGCACCGGGGCGCUGGCUCCAGAGGGGUUAAGUACGAGUCCUGGGGCGGAUAACUCCUAGAGCGGAUAACAGAGCCGAGUAACCCCAGCAAAGUGAAGCCUCAGCUUGAGCUGGAGGGAGAUGACAGGAAGAAGGCAGCAUCUGCAGACCCCCUCCCCAGGCAGGACUUACCUCCCGCCCCAGCACUCAGGCUGCCUCCUGCUGGAUUAAUAUUUCUCAACAUAUAAUUAAAUAGUUUUUGUGAUUAAUCACUGUUUAAAUUAUGUUUGAUUUGUAGCAAUGAGAAUACAUAAUGCAUAUCAGGUAUUUACAUUCUGAAUAAUAACUGUAGCAAAAUUAGUUUUGAAGUAGCCACCAAAAUAAUUUUUUGGUUUGGGGUCACCGCAACAUGAGGAACUGUAUUGCGGGGUCACGGCAUUAGAAAGGUUGAGAACCACUGGUCUAAACAAAGUAAUGUUUCUUUUUUUUUCUCUUCUCCAAAAAUUUUUUUCCUGAGAGCUUUCCAUCCCUCCUGAGCUGACUUCCUUUGUAAGAUUUUAGGUCACAGAAUCUUAGACUCUUUGAAAUCUGCUCUCCUAAAAUCUAUCCUCAGCUUUUGUCAUCUUUCUACCACAAAUCCUAAGAGGAAACAUAGAUCCCCUCAAAGAUUCUUAUCAUUUCUACAUAGCAACCAGUGCUUCCCUGUUGCCUUGAAUAAACUUGAUAUUUUGAAAGCUGCAACUCAAAUUAAGGCAAACCAAGAAAUUAAUAGUUGUUCUCUUAGGGCAGAGAAUAUUCUGACUGAUGUCCAUAUUGAUGAAAUUUCCAUCACUACUACAUCAUGCUUGUGAUUUCUUUCUCAAACCUAUUUCUAACCCUUCUCUGCACUGGUAAUCUACAGCAGCAUACUCUGAUGGCAACGUCAUUUCUGCCUUCCUCUACUGAUCUUCUACUAAAUAAACUCAAAUCUGUAUGUUUUCUUAUCUGUUCUGAGCUUUCUAUGCCCUGCUUUUCACUUUCUUGUCUGUAUCUUCAAACACCUGCUGAGACCCUAGCACCUUUAUUCUUUCAUAUCCCAUUGAUGUCUGUUUGGAUAUACCCUACUACUACAGAGAGGUUCUCCAGUCUCUUCGAUACCAAGAGAAGGGAGAGGGAAAAAGAAGGAAGAUUCCUAGAUACUGCUUAGCCUUUUAAAGGAAUCCAGUCCCACUUAUAGCCAAGCUAUACUUUAUUUCCACCCUUCCUGUCUCAGCACCUACCACCUCACCUCACCUGUCCUUUUUUUUUGGGAGUCCCAGAGCCAUAUUCUAGGCAUGGAAGUGGUCCCAUCAAGUCUCUAGGUAGCAUUGUGAUAAAGGAUGAAAGGUUUGCAAAAACUGUUGCAAAAACUGAGAGAUGCAAACCUCAGAGAAUGAUUGAUAGGAGCAGGUGACUAAGGGUCACAUGGGAGCCUGAGCCUUGGGAUCUGGGAAAAUUCUAUGCCCAACAGUUGCUUCAUUCUUGGAGUCUGUUCUGGAAGGACCUAAGGCUUGAAGAAGAUUUUGCUCCUGAGACCGGCAGAGGAAAGAGGUUUUUGGAUCUGGCUACUGGCAGCAUCAAUAAGAUCUCUGGACCUUCUUGUAUAUCAACCAACUGAAGAUCCUGGCCCAUUUGAUUGGACUCCUGAUCUAUGGUUUUUCACACUAUAUGAUUCUGGGCCAUAUUCUUCAAAAGAACCUUCAAAGACCAUCUAGCAAAUGUAUUCCUUCUUUGAAGUCUUCACAUUUCAUCAGUACUAGUACACCUGUUAUUUCAAACUUGGAACUAUAUCAUUAGAAACUACAAUCCUCUUGUAUUCUAGAAUACUAGAAUGUGCCUAGAAUAUCGCAUGCAUUUGGGUUGCCACAUGCUAAGAAGAACAUUCACAAAAGUGGAGCAUAAUCAGAGAACCACACUGGAGAGGUCUUUCUCAGGUCUUUCUCAUAAGUUCCUCUGGAUUGUCCUGGGUCGUUGCAUUGCUGCUGAUAGAAAAGUCCAUUACAUUCGAUUGGACCACAGUGUAUCAGUCUCUGUGUAUAAUGUUUUCCUGGUUCUGCUCCUUUUGCUCUACAUCAGUUCCUGGGGGUCAUUCCAAUUCACAUGGAAUUCCUCCAUUUCUUAAUUCCUUUCAGCACAAGAAUAUUCCAUCACCAACAGAUACUCCCCAAUUGAUGGACACCCCCUCAUUUUCCAAUUUUUUUGUCACCACAAAGAGCAUGGGUAUGAAUAUUCUUGUACAAGUCUUUUUUCCUUAUUAUCUCUUUGGGAUACAAACCAAGCAGUAGUAUGGCUGGAUCAAAGGGCAGGCAGUAUUUUAAAGCCCUUUGCACAUAAUUCCAAAUUGCCCUCCAGAAUGGUUGGGUCAAUUCACAACUCCACCAGCAGUGCCUUGGUGUUCCAAUUUCACCACAUCCCCUCCCACAUUUAUCACUUUCCUUUGCUGUCAUAUUGACCAAUCUGCUAGGUGUGAGGUGGUACUUCAGAGUUGUUUUAAUUUGCAUUUCUCUAAUCAGGAGGGAUUUAGACUACUUUUUCAUGUGCUUAUUAAUAGUUUUGAUUUCAUCAUGUGAAAACUGCCUAUUCAUGUCCCUUGACCAUUUGUCGAUUGGGGAAUGGCUUGAUUUUUUGUAAAUUUGACUUAGUUCCUGAUAUAUUUGGGAAAUUAAACCUUUCUCAGAGAGUUUUGUUAUAAAAAUGUCCUCCCAGUUUGUUGCUUUCCUUCUAAUGUUUGUUGCAUUGAUUUUGUUUGUACAAUUUUUUUUUUUAAAUUUGAUAUAAUUAAAGUCAAUCAUUUUACAUUUUGCAAUGUUUUCUAUAUCUUGCUUGGUCUUAAAUUCCUUCUUUCCCACAGAUGUAUACUAUGAUGUAGUAAUUUUUUACAUUAAAGGUGCUCUCUCUCUCUCUCUCACCUGAAG